GGAAAAAUCAGAGCAGACAUCAUUUGCUUUGUUUUUUCAGUGUGUCUCUGUCAUUCUCACUUCAGAAACAUAUUCAUGUGAAGCUGCAGUUGAGACAUGGCAAAGAUUACACCAUUCACAUGAUUGAUGAGAUAGGAACAACAUGCAACUGCCAUCAAUUUUGAGGCUUUGAAGGAGAAGGGGACGAUGGGGGCUUCACAUCUGGAUAAUUUGGAUAUGGCGAUGAUGACCUAGGACCACAUUUUAUUGCUGAGGGUGAGUCAGCAGACUUCUUAACGGGACCAUUGCUUAUCUGCUCAACUUGGGUCACACCUAUAGCGGAUGGAGAUUGACUAUUAAUUUCAUUUGCUUGAAUCACCCCAUUAUUGCUGCCUUGCGGUUGCAACCCUUUAUCCUUCUUCUUGGGAUAAAUAUGAACAGAUGGAGGGAGAAGGGUUUCUUGGAUCUCCUGCCAUCCUUUCUUGCCUCUUAUCCCACCUCGGAUAGCAUAAGCCUCUUUGAGACCAUUUUUGACCAAUAAUUCAGCCACUUUAAUGGAGUUCCCAUCGAAAUUGUCUAUAACACAAAGCGUAGUAUUUUGUGGGUCGUUGAAUUUCUGAAAGACACUGUUGAGAAAGGCAUCUUCAUCUCCUUGGCGGAACUCAACCUGUAUCACACUCUUAUUUAACAUUCUCAAAGUGGGAGAAGGCAAAUAAGCUAAGCUCUUGUUAUCCCGAAUAUCUAAAAGCUGGGUAUUGGGGUCAUCACGAAGCUUUGCAAAUGCAUCAACGGCUGAGAUAAAGCUAAACUUUUGCAAGUACUCUUCUGCUAAUGGUAUAAGAACAAGCCAAAUAAAGGUGACCCCAGCAACAAAGAAUGGA
rnacentral:misc_RNA from 1 species